rnacentral:lncRNA from 1 species
AGGUUAUGGUUCAUGCAUAGAAGCCGGUUACCAACCAAACAUUUUAUUGAUAUUCAAAUGUUGAAUGCCUGAGAAAUAUAUUCUUUGGCUGUGAUUUAGUGGUUAUGGUUCAUAUUCGAAAACUCAGUGUCUCAUAAUCUUGUUCAGGACAAGUGGCAUUGAGCGUCUUGACCUUUUAUUUUAAAAUUAGUUAAUUAUAUUUUUUGAAGGGGC